UUUCCGUAGGUGAACCUGCGGAAGGAUCAUUAACACGUAUCCACGUAUCAACCCCUCUGUGCAAACUACACCGUUAAUGGUUGGUCUUAGUCCUUCUUGGUUCGUAUGGAUCUCAAUGAUGGAGAGUUGUUAACUUCGGUUGACAACUCUGAGGUCUGAACUGUUGGGCGUUUGACGAUCAGCCGAUAUUUUCCCAUCGUUAGCCUUCUCAAUUUUAUUAACCCCUUUGUACUUAUUUGUACUGAACCAAUUCCUUCGAGUUCUCUUUCUUUUAGAGAGAUGAGCACGAAAGAUAUUACGAAACUAAAGAACAACUCUUAGCAACGGAUAUCUUGGUUCCC
rnacentral:misc_RNA from 1 species